rnacentral:lncRNA from 1 species
GGCAGAUAUCAUGAUGUCUCACUUCUCAUAUGAAAAAUGAAAUAAUUAAUACAGGCUGAGAAUAAUUGACUAGCCAGCAUCUGACUUACUGUUUCUGAAAUACAGAGUAAUUCAUUUUUGUGAUAUCCUCUGUCCUAGCUUUUAUCUUCCAUCUUUCUAGGAAGAAGAGUUAUGAAAUAUGUUACAUGGUUUUCUCUUUUCACUACUUGAACUUGGUUUAUACAGGCUUGAGUUUACCUUCAGUUAUUAACCCAAAGGCUGCAUCAACAAAGAAGAGACAGAGAGAAGCUUUGAGAUGUUUUACUAGUGUGAAGGCAGUGGUAACACUGGGUGUAGCAACUUCAUGGAAUUUUGGAUCAUUGAGUAAAUUUGCACAUGCUGUAGAAUAGGUACUGUGGCCCACCUGUUGAAGAUUAGUUAAAUUAUUUUAUUUUGUUUUUUCUGUCUUAUUCUCUUUAGGUUCUAUCAGAAUUGUCUUGAUAUUGAGACUACGAUGUCCUUUUUCAAUGUAUAUUGUAUCUCUGUGAUUGGCAUGUUUUUCUAGUGUACGUUAUUUGGAUCAUACAUCGUUUGGAUUCUGUUGAUGUCUAGCAAGCUUGAGGGGACAACAUGGC